GUUUGUUUUUACCCUGUGAAUUUUUCUAUGCUUUGAAUGGCACGAUGCCUUACACUGUGGAGUGGAACACUGCUUUUGACCAUUCUGUCUAAAACUAGAGUGGACGAAGGCCGCCAAGAGGGACUACGACUGGCUAGAACUAGUACACCAGAGAGUGGUGGAUACAUGCAUUGAAGAAAUGGAGACAGAUCCAUUUCGAGGAGCCAAAAAACUCAAACACUGCCCUUUGGCUGACUGGCGGAAACGUGCCGGUAAGCUCUCCCGCGUUUUAUUUGAUGUUUUGAAUCUUUAGUUAUCCUGAAAAGAGUGCCCCCCAAAAAAAGAUAUUGCUUUUUGACCAUUCUUUCUUCAUCUUUCGUAGUGUCCACAUUUCUUUCUUUUUACCCUGUGAAUUGUUCGAUACUCUAAAUAACAGGAUGCGUUCCACUAUGGAGUGGACCAAGACUGCCAAGGACUAUGACCGCUUGGGACUUGGGCACCAAAGAACUGUGGAUGCAUGUGUUGAAGAAAGGGAGCCCAUUCCAUUUCGAGGGGCUAAAAAACUCCAUUGUUGUCCCUUGUCUAAUUGUCGAAAACUUGCUGCAUGAAUAGGUCAACGUAAGAAAAACCGUUUUAGUCAUCUGUAUUGGAUGCUGUCGGAUGCCGAGCCAGUGAUCCUAUAGUUUGACGAUGAAUUUGGCGACAUAAUGGAUAAUAUUCGAAACUUCAAGGAUUUUGUCGAUCCGUCCGUUAGGAACAGAGGUCGACCCUCUCAAGCUGUGGUGUGUCGUUGUCAUCGUGAAUUGAAGUAACAGUCGCCGACAAGCUUAGCUAUCUUCUUGAAGACUAGUUACAACAGCGGGGUGCCAACGUUACGUGGAGCGAGUGCUGAACUGAGCUGUGAGCAUCGAAUUCUGUUGUCUACUGCGGAAGCAGCGUGGUAUCUGGUCUGUAGUAGCUAGUUGAUUGGAGACCGUAGAGCGGAGCUCCGAGGAUCCCCUCCCUUGCUGAAUUCUGUCUGGACGCUUCGUGUGCUGUGGUCGAUUACUACUUGUGUCCUGCUGUGUGGUAUCCUGUAUUCGUCUUUGUGUUUGUCUCUUCGUGUAAAUAAAAGUUUUUUUUUUUUUUACCGAUACCUACUGAUUGUGUGUUCUCCACACCAUAUCGCUACCACUAU